UUAGCUUUACUGGAGCAGAGCAACAUUUAAUAGGAAUUCCAUCAUAAAUAUUUACCCAGAUACAACAUUCUUCUCUGGAAUUUGAGUUUUUCCAGAAGGUUUAGGAUCUAAGGAUGAACUAUCAGUGGUACUGAUUAUACAACGAGUUUGUACAAAAUGUUCGCUGGUGUUGGGCGUUUACCUUUUAUCACUCCUAUAUCCCCUUAUUGUGUUUCUCUGUUUCUAGAAAGUAGGCCAUUUGUUCCAGGCUUUCAAGUUUAUGCCAUAACCUGAAGGAGAAAGAGUUCACUAUUGACCAGCAGUUAAAAGCAGGUUCAGUUUCUACCUCAUUUUCCAUCCCCACAGUAGCACUUCCUGUUAGUUCGAAAAAUAUCUCAAUGCAUUAUUUACACACCUAGCUUGUGCUCUGUGACCAGAAUUGGUAAACUGUAGCCGUGAUAGUACUACACUGUAUUCAGAAAUAACACUGUAUUCAGAAAUAGCAGGAGGAGAUAAAGCUAGGUGUUGCAUAUAGGCCGAUGGUGAACCCUUUUAGAGCUGACCUUCCUUCAAAGUUGGAUAUCAUCUACAGUAACCUCACCGCAUCCAUAGAUCAACUGAACACACAAAAGGCACUUAAGAUCUUUACUGGUAUCCAGGAUGUGUUGUCUGAUCAUCUAAGCGAACUGGCCCACUAUGCUAAGGAAUUAGGACAGUUCAGUUACUUGAUCGGACUGUUUAGCAUGUAGAAAUUGGAAGCAGGCUUAGAAAAACACCACCAAGCUUGAAAGCAGAAAAAGAUGCACACACUCACCAUUAUUAUCUUCCUGUGAUAAUUUUAGGCUUGUACCAGGAAACUUGAAGAGGCAAUUUUAGUCGGUGGUGUGCUUUAAAAUUUCAUAUUGUUGUUCGAUGUUUCUCCAUAAUCGUUUCUUCUAUUUUUUUAGAAUUUUCUAGCAUAUGAACUAUCACAUGAAUUUUGCUGGCUCUGGUGGUCGCGCCGCCCAGGACGCCGGUGGCGGAGACAGAGGCAAUUUGUACUGGGACGUCGUGGCCGAGCCGCAAGACCUCCGCCUUGACGAGCUGCUGGACCGAUGCCUCGACGAGACACCGGACCUUGGCCUCCCUCUGGUUUUCAUGGCUGAACAUGAGCAUGUCUGUUUGUGGUGUUGAGGUAAAGCUCAGAUUGAUACACAGUAGAGCCAAGGGCAUGUCGUGGACCAACUAUAGCAAGCUGGGCAGCGUGUGCAGCUAGCUUCGGGAGUGAAAUGAGAUAAUACAGAGCAUUACAUGUGCCGAUAGCAUGAAAUUGGAGGAGCUGAAUUCUAUAUUGGUUCCUUGUUGACCUCUCACCCUGCUGAUGUAGUUCUGUAUUGUACAGGUGAUUGCACUUGUGGAAGGAUUAGCCCACCAGUGCUCAGACGGAACGUGCAUUCUAAGCCAGAUUCAGGUGCUCUGCUCCAGCCUUCAACAAGUCAAUCUUGUUUAGUACUAUGGAGUGCAAACUAUGCAGAUGAUGUUUGUGUUUAGAAGUUUCUACUAGGACACAUAUAACUCUUUGGGUGGGUCAGGUGCCCCCUUUCUCAUACAAUUGAGUCGUAUUCACUUUGAGUGUAACUUGUAGCCUUGUAAAUU